GGAUGGGUGACUGAGUGGCCGAAAGUACCUCGCUGCUAAUGAGGCAGACCCGUAAGGGUCUCGAGGGUUCGAAUCCCUCCCCAUCCG
rnacentral:tRNA from 1 species